rnacentral:rRNA from 1 species
CACGUAGGGGGCGAGCGUUGUCCGGAUUCAUUGGGCGUAAAGGGCGCGCAGGCGGCCCGGCAAGUCGGAUGUGAAAACUCGAGGCUCAACCUCGAGCGUGCACCCGAUACUGCCGGGCUUGAAGCAGGUAGGGGAGAUCGGAAUUCCUGGUGUAGCGGUGAAAUGCGCAGAUAUCAGGAGGAACACCGGUGGCGAAGGCGGAUCUCUGGGCCUGUCCUGACGCUGAGGCGUGAAAGCUAGGGGAGCGAACAGG